rnacentral:sRNA from 1 species
GCACCAGCAAAAUCUGGUGUCAGGCGUGGAAACCUGAAUAUACUAAAGGCGACACAUGACGCGCCAAGCGUCUUUUUU